GGGGGUGUAGUUAAAUAUAACAUUUAAUUUGCAAUUAAAAAUUGUUCAACAUCAUAAAUAGAGCCUCCCUCA
rnacentral:tRNA from 2 species